CAGAACAAUAAAUACAUAGAACAAUAUACACAGAACAAUAAAUACAUAGAACAAUAUACACAGAACAAUAAAUACACAGAAUAAUAUA